rnacentral:rRNA from 1 species
ACUGAACGCUGGCGGCAGGCCUAACACAUGCAAGUCGAGCGGGGUUUUCGGACCUAGCGGCGGACGGGUGAGUAAUGCGUAGGAAGCUACCCGAUAGAGGGGGAUACCAGUUGGAAACGACUGUUAAUACCGCAUAAUGUCUACGGACCAAAGUGUGGGACCUUCGGGCCACAUGCUAUCGGAUGUGCCUACGUGGGAUUAGCUAGUUGGUGAGGUAAUGGCUCACCAAGGCGACGAUCCCUAGCUGGUUUGGGGGGAUGAUCAGCCACACGGGAACUGAGACACGGUCCAGACUCCUACGGGAGGCAGCAGUGGGGAAUAUUGGACAAUGGGCGCAAGCCUGAUUCAGCCAUGCCGCGUGUGUGAAGAAGGCCUUCGGGUUGUAAAGCACUUUCAGUAAGGAGGAAGCGUUGAGUGUUAAUAGUACUCAGCGUUGACGUUACUUACAGAAGAAGCACCGGCUAACUCUGUGCCAGCCGCCGCGGUAAAAC